AAUUCUCCAAGGAAUUGUGAUUUGGAUGCGGAUUCAAAAUAAGGGCAUGCAAUGCCAGGGUAGCAUGGCAAGCACACCGAAGGAUUAUUACGAGAAGGUGUGUGCUACCGGCUAGGUGGCCUUCACCUAGGGAAGUUCCCAACCUGGUAGCUCUCCCCUGUGACGACAAGAUGAGCAUAUAGGUCCUUCGGGACAAGCCAACGUGCGCUGCUCACGGUAAAAUUGUGGCGUCGGGUCAAAGGAUUGCUUUAUAUAUCAUAGUACUGAAGACAUGGGUACCGGUGGGCCUCUUAGUUGUUAAAGAUCCUAUCGCUACUUUAUGGACUAGCAGGAGCAGUAGCAGUAGUAGUAGAAGUGUCUGGGACUCCAUUCUAUAGACUAGACGGCUUUGGAUAAGCAUAGACGGUGUAACUUUAUUGCUUAUAAGAUUAUUGAAUACUAGCACAUUAUGUGUUUAUGAUUUUAUAAUGAGAGUUUACAGUACUCUGGUGAU